UACGGAAGGUGCAAGCGUUGCUCGGAAUCACUGGGCGUAAAGGGUGCGUAGGCGGCUUGGUAAGUUGGGUGUGAAAGCCCCGGGCUCAGCCCGGGAAGGGCACUCGAAACUGCCGAGCUGGAGUGCCGGAGGGGAGAGUGGAAUUCCUGGUGUAGCGGUGAAAUGCGUAGAUAUCAGGAGGAAUACCGGUGGCGAAAGCGACUCUCUGGACGGCAACUGACGCUGAGGCACGAAAGCGUGGGGAGCAAACAGG
rnacentral:rRNA from 1 species